AUGGGUGAUACAGAGGGCCGGCCGCUGGCAACAUCGGUCCAAUCCUUAAAGUCAUCCUCAGUUCGGACUGGGGUCUGCAACCCGACCCCACGAAGCUGGAUUCGCUAGUAAUCGCGCAUAAGCCAUGGCGCGGUGAAUACGUUCCCGGGCCUUGUACACACCGCCCGUCAAGCCAUGAAAGCCGGGGGGCGCCUGAAGUCCGUGACCGCGAGGGUCGGCCUAGGGUGAAACCGGUGAUUGGGGCUAAGUCGUAACAAGGUAGC
rnacentral:rRNA from 1 species